rnacentral:rRNA from 1 species
AACGAACGCUGGCGGCAGGCCUAACACAUGCAAGUCGAGCGAGACCUUCGGGUCUCGCGGCGGACGGGUGAGUAACGCGUGGGAAUAUGCCCUUUGGUACGGAAUAGCCUCGGGAAACUGAGCGUAAUACCGUAUGUGCCCUUCGGGGGAAAGAUUUAUCGCCAAAGGAUUAGCCCGCGUUGGAUUAGGUAGUUGGUGGGGUAAUGGCCUACCAAGCCUACGAUCCAUAGCUGGUUUGAGAGGAUGAGCAGCCACACUGGGACUGAGACACGGCCCAGACUCCUACGGGAGGCAGCAGUGGGGAAUCUUAGACAAUGGGGGAAACCCUGAUCGAGCCAUGCCGCGUGAGUGAUGAAGGCCUUAGGGUUGUAAAGCUCUUUCAGCUGGGAAGAUAAUGACGGUACCAGCAGAAGAAGCCCCGGCUAACUACGUGCCAGCCGCCGCCGUAA